rnacentral:rRNA from 1 species
GAUGAGCGCUAGCGGGAGGCCUAACACAUGCAAGCCGAGCGGUAGAGUUUCUUCGGAAACUUGAGAGCGGCGCACGGGUGCGUAACACGUGUGCAACCUACCUUUAUCUGGGGGAUAGCCUUUCGAAAGGAAGAUUAAUACCCCAUAAUAUAAUGAUUGGCAUCAAUUAUUAUUGAAAACUCCGGUGGAUAGAGAUGGGCACGCGCAAGAUUAGAUAGUUGGUGAGGUAACGGCUCACCAAGUCAAUGAUCUUUAGGGGUCCUGAGAGGGAGAUCCCCCACACUGGUACUGAGACACGGACCAGACUCCUACGGGAGGCAGCAGUGAGGAAUAUUGGACAAUGGGUGAGAGCCUGAUCCAGCCAUCCCGCGUGAAGGAUGACGGCCCUAUGGAUUGUAAACUUCUUUUGUACAGGGAUAAACCUACCCUCGUGAGGGUAGCUGAAGGUACUGUACGAAUAAGCACCGGCUAACUCCGUG